rnacentral:rRNA from 1 species
UACGUAGGGGGCGAGCGUUGUCCGGAUUCAUUGGGCGUAAAGAGCUCGUAGGCGGUUCAGCAAGUCGGGUGUGAAACCUCCAGGCUCAACCUGGAGACGCCACCCGAUACUGCUGUGACUUGAGUCCGGUAGGGGACCACGGAAUUCCUGGUGUAGCGGUGAAAUGCGCAGAUAUCAGGAGGAACACCGGUGGCGAAGGCGGUGGUCUGGGCCGGCAUUGACGCUGAGGCGCGAAAGCCAGGGGAGCAAACGGG